GCGAGUGUGGUGGAAUCGGCAGACACGGGGCACUCAAAAUGCUCUGCCUCACGGCGUGCGGGUUCAAGUCCCGCCACUCGUACGA
rnacentral:tRNA from 20 species